rnacentral:rRNA from 1 species
UGGGGAAUCUUGCGCAAUGGUCGAGAGACUGACGCAGCGACGCCGCGUGUGGGAGGACGCCUUUCGGGGUGUAAACCACUGUUGCCCGGGACGAACAGCGCCAUUCGUGGCGUGUGACGGUACCGGGUGAGGAAGCACCGGCUAACUCCGUGCCAGCAGCCGCGGUAAUACGGAGGGUGCGAGCGUUGUCCGGAAUCAUUGGGCGUAAAGGGCGCGUAGGUGGCCCGGUCAGUCUUUGGUGAAAGCGCGGGGCUCAACCCUGCGUCGGCCAGGGAUACUGCCGCGGCUGGAGCACUGUAGAGGCAGGCGGAAUUCCGGGUGUAGCGGUGGAAUGCGUAGAGAUCCGGAAGAACACCGGUGGCGAAGGCGGCCUGCUGGGCAGUUGCUGACACUGAGGCGCGACAGCGUGGGGAGCAAACAG